rnacentral:rRNA from 1 species
UACGUAGGUGGCAAGCGUUGUCCGGAAUUAUUGGGCGUAAAGCGCGCGCAGGCGGUCCUUUAAGUCUGAUGUGAAAGCCCACGGCUCAACCGUGGAGGGUCAUUGGAAACUGGGGGACUUGAGUGCAGAAGAGGAAAGCGGAAUUCCACGUGUAGCGGUGAAAUGCGUAGAGACCCGGAGGAACACCAGUGGCGAAGGCGGCUUCCUGGUCUGCAACUGACGCUGUGGCGCGAAAGCUAGGGGAGCAAACGGG